CCAUGGCAGCUUUCUCUCCCCAGCAGAGUUUGUGAAGCAUGCAGGUGGGGGUGAUGUUGAUCAUCCCCUUAGGCACAUAGUCGUAAAUACUUCUGGUAGUUCUCUUUUUUAACUCGGUUAUCAUGUCAACCCCUCAAACGUACACAAGCGGGGAUGUGAAAUAGGAGAAAGAAAAUGAGAGAAUUUUUGGAAGAUAGAUUUUAUUUAUUUGUUUUUUCUUUGUUAACGAAAAGGAACUUGAUAUUAUUUACUAUUUUUCCAUGUUUCAGAGAGACUUUCAGCUGGAACUCUGAGAGUGUCUCUCUUAAAAUUUCCUUUUAGUUUCAAUCUGUUGUUUCAACUGUGCAUUCAUGCGUAUGAUGAAGUGAAAGUCAGGGCAUUAUUUAUUUCCUUUUGAA
rnacentral:misc_RNA from 1 species